rnacentral:misc_RNA from 1 species
GAUGAAGAACGCAGCGAAAUGCGAUAAGUAAUGUGAAUUGCAGAAUUCAGUGAAUCAUCGAAUCUUUGAACGCACCUUGCGCUCCUUGGUAUUCCAAAGAGCAUGCCUGUUUGAGUAUCAUUAAAUUAUCAACUGUACCAAUUUGGUUGCAGAUUGGAUGUGGGAGAUUUUGCAGGCUUUUGAUUUCUCUUUGAGAAAACGGUCAGCUCUCCUGAAAUAUAUUAGCAGUGCCUUUGUUGGUUCAUUAUGUGUGAUAAUUUAUCUACAUCUUCACAUGGUACCUUCAUUUGUGUAAAGGUCAUAUUGCUUCUAAUUGUCUUUGGACAUAAAAAAAAAAAAACAUAUAAUUGUAUGGAAAACUUGAUCUCAAAUCAGGCAGGACUACCCGCUGAACUUAAGCAUAUCAAUAAGCGGAGGA